UUGGAGGGCAAGUCUGGUGCCAGCAGCCGCGGUAAUUCCAGCUCCAAUAGCGUAUAUUAAAGUUGUUGCAGUUAAAAAGCUCGUAGUUGAAUUUCGGGAUUAGUACGUCGGUCGUGCCUUAGGUACGUACUGGUGUUACUGGUUCCUACCUUCUGACGAACCAUCAUGUCAUUAAUUUGGUGUGGUGGGGAAUCAGGACUGUUACUUUGAAAAAAUUAGAGUGUUUAAAGCAGGCUCGCGCUUGAAUACAUUAGCAUGGAAUAAUGAAAUAGGACGUUGAUCCUAUUUUGUUGGUUUCUAGGAUUGACGUAAUGAUUAAUAGGGAUAGUUGGGGGCAUUAGUAUUCAAUUGUCAGAGGUGAAAUUCUUGGAUUUAUUGAAGACUAACUACUGCGAAAGCAUUUGCCAAGGAUGUUUUCAUUAAUCAAGAACGAAAGUUAGGGGAUCGAAGACGAUCAGAUACCGUCGUAGUCUUAACCAUAAACUAUGCCGACUAGGGAUCGGGUGAUGUUAUUUUUAAUGACUCAUUCGGCGCCUUACGGGAAAC
rnacentral:rRNA from 1 species